UUUGUUUUUAUCAUUUGUUGGAAUGGCAGAAGUACUGGGUUGGGAACCUAGAGGUCAGCCAGAUAGUAUUGUGCAGGACAUUUGAAAUAUGGUUCGCUCCUACAUUGAGAAGCCCAACAGUAUAAUUUUAGCAAUUUCACCUGCUAAUCAAGAUCUUGUUAC